rnacentral:rRNA from 1 species
UGUAGUCUCGCACAGAUGCAUAUCAAUAAGCGGAGGAAAAGAAACUAACAAGGAUUCCCUUAGUAACGGCGAGUGAAGCGGGAAGAGCUCAAAUUUGAAAUCUUCAAGGUUUUACCUUGACGAAUUGUAGUUUAAAGAAGUGUUUUCUGCUUGAAGUUUUGGUAAAAGUUCUUUGGAAUAGGACAUCAUAGAGGGUGAGAAUCCCGUAUUUGACCAUUAUUUUCAGCUGUGUGAUACACUUUCAAAGAGUCGGAUUGUUUGGGAAUGCAGUCCAAAAUGGGUGGUAAAUUUCAUCUAAAGCUAAAUAUUGGCGAGAGACCGAUAGCGAACAAGUACCGUGAGGGAAAGAUGAAAAGAACUUUGAAAAGAGAGUUAAACAGUACGUGAAAUUGUCAAAAGGGAAGCGUUUAACACCAGUGUUGUUUUCUGAAAAUCAACCUCUGUUAGCUUUAUGCAUGUUUGUUUAGACCUAAUCAGCUAUCUUGCAUGUUCUAUUGUUUGCAGUGGUGCACUUUUCAGUUUACAGGUCAACAUCAGUUUUUUUUACCGUAAAAAAGUUAAAGAAAGGUAGCUCAUGGCUCCGGUCGUGAGUGUUAUAGUCUUUUUCCUAUGCGGUAGGAGAGACUGAGGUCUGCAGUGUAGGCUAUUUGGCUAGAUACUCAGGUGCUAUGUGAUACCAUUUCAUAAACAACUUGUUGAUUAUGUUUUGUCUAUUGCAUACUCGCUUGUACUAUCAUACCUACGCUUAGGAUGUUGAAGAUGUAGCACAUCAU